rnacentral:tRNA from 1 species
AAAAAUUUAGUUAACAUAUAACCUUAACUUGUCAAGUUAAAAUAACUAAUUUAGUAAUUUUUA